rnacentral:tRNA from 1 species
ACAGUGGUGGUUCAGUGGUAGAACUCUUGCCUUCUCUGCAGAAGACUUGGAUUUAAUUCCCGGCCAACGUG